rnacentral:rRNA from 1 species
GACCAGACUCCUACGGGAGGCAGCAGUGGGGGAUAUUGCACAAUGGGGGGAACCCUGAUGCAGCGACGCCGCGUGGGUGAAGGAGCGUUUCGGCGCGUAAAGCCCUAUCGGCAGGGAAGAAGGAGGACGGUACCUGACUAAGAAGCCCCGGCUAACUACGUGCCAGCAGCCGCGGUAAUACGUAGGGGGCAAGCGUUAUCCGGAUUUACUGGGUGUAAAGGGGGCGCAGACGGCAGCGCAAGCCAGGAGUGAAAGCCCGGGGCCCAACCCCGGGACUGCUCUUGGAACUGCGCGGCUGGAGUGCAGGAGGGGCAGGCGGAAUUCCUAGUGUAGCGGUGAAAUGCGUAGAUAUAAGGAAGAACACCAGUGGCGAAGGCGGAUUACUGGACGAUAACUGACGGUGAGGCGCGAAAGCGUGGGGAGCAAACAGGAUUAGAUACCCGGGUAGC